UACGUAGGCAGCGCGCGUUGUUCGGAGUUACUGGGCGUAAAGGGUGUGUAGGCGGGUCUCUAAGUUUGGUGUGAAAUCUCCCGGCUCAACUGGGAGGGUGCGCCGAAAACUGGAGGGCUAGAGUACGGGAUGGGAGAGUAGAAUUCCUGGUGUAGCGGUGAAAUGCGUAGAUAUCAGGAGGAAUAACGGUGGUGUAGACGGCUCUCUGGACCGUAACUGACGCUGAGACACGAAAGCGUGGGUAGCAAACAGG
rnacentral:rRNA from 1 species